GCAUCGGUGGUUUAGAGGUAGAAUCCUCAUUUUCCUAGAGAGUGGUCUGGGUUCGAUUCCCGGUCGUUGCA